rnacentral:misc_RNA from 1 species
GAUGAAGAACGUAGUGAAAUGCGAUACUUGGUGUGAAUUGCAGAAUCCCGUGAACCAUCGAGUCUUUGAACGCAAGUUGCGCCCGAAGCCAUCAGGUUGAGGGCACGUCUGCCUGGGCGUCACAUAUCGUUGCCCAAUGCCUAUUGCAGUGCAAUAGGAAUUUCUAGGGCGAAUGAUGGCUUCCCGUGAGCGUUGUUGCCUCGCGGUUGGUUGAAAAUCGAGUCCUUGGUAGGGUGUGCCAUGGUAGAUGGUGGUCGAGUUAGAACGAUACCGAUCAUGUGCAUGCUCCCCAAGAUAUGGCCUCUAUGACCCACACGCGUCUUUUGACGCUCAUGACGAGACCUCAGGUCAGGCGGGGCUACCCGCUGAAUUUAAGCAUAUCAAUAAGCGGAGGA